rnacentral:rRNA from 1 species
ACCAUGCAGUCGACGGAAGGCCCUGCUUGCAGGGUACUCGAGUGGCGAACGGGUGAGUAACACGUGGGUGAUCUGCCCUGCACUUCGGGAUAAGCCUGGGAAACUGGGUCUAAUACCGGAUAGGAGCCAUUUUUAGUGUGAUGGUUGGAAAGUUUUUUCGGUGUAGGAUGAGCUCGCGGCCUAUCAGCUUGUUGGUGGGGUAAUGGCCUACCAAGGCGGCGACGGGUAGCCGGCCUGAGAGGGUGGACGGCCACAUUGGGACUGAGAUACGGCCCACACUCCUACGGGAGGCAGCAGUGGGGAAUAUUGCACAAUGGGCGCAAGCCUGAUGCAGCGACCCCGCGUGGGGGAUGACGGCCUUCGGGUUGUAAACUCCUUUCGCUAGGGACGAAGCUUUUUGUGACGGUACCUAGAUAAAAAGCACCGGCAAACUACGUGCCAGC